rnacentral:rRNA from 1 species
GACGAACGCUGGCGGCGUGCUUAACACAUGCAAGUCGAACGGAAAGGCCCUGCUUUUGUGGGGUGCUCGAGUGGCGAACGGGUGAGUAACACGUGAGUAACCUGCCCUUGACUUUGGGAUAACUUCAGGAAACUGGGGCUAAUACCGGAUAGGAGCUCCUGCUGCAUGGUGGGGGUUGGAAAGUUUCGGCGGUUGGGGAUGGACUCGCGGCUUAUCAGCUUGUUGGUGGGGUAGUGGCUUACCAAGGCUUUGACGGGUAGCCGGCCUGAGAGGGUGAACGGCCACAUUGGGACUGAGAUACGGACCAGAGUCCUACGGGAGGCAGCAGUGGGGAAUAUUGCACAAUGGGCGGAAGCCUGAUGCAGCAACGCCGCGUGCGGGAUGACGGCCUUCGGGUUGUAAACCGCUUUCGCCUGUGACGAAGCGUGAGUGACGGUAAUGGGUAAAGAAGCACCGGCUAACUACGUG